UUCCCUGGUGGUCUAGUGGUUAG
rnacentral:piRNA from 1 species